rnacentral:rRNA from 1 species
GAUGAACGCUGGCGGCGUGCCUAAUACAUGCAAGUAGAACGCUGAAGGAAGGAGCUUGCUCUUUCCGGAUGAGUUGCGAACGGGUGAGUAACGCGUAGGUAACCUGCCUGGUAGCGGGGGAUAACUAUUGGAAACGAUAGCUAAUACCGCAUAACAGUAGAUGUUGCAUGAUAUCUACUUAAAAGGUGCAAUUGCACCACUACCAGAUGGACCUGCGUUGUAUUAGCUAGUUGGUGAGGUAACGGCUCACCAAGGCGACGAUACAUAGCCGACCUGAGAGGGUGAUCGGCCACACUGGGAAUGAGACAGGGCCCAGACUCCUACGGGAGGCAGCAGUAGGGAAUCUUCGGCAAUGGACGGAAGUCUGACCGAGCAACGCCGCGUGAGUGAAGAAGGUUUUCGGAUCGUAAAGCUCUGUUGUAAGAGAAGAACGAGUGUGAGAGUGGAAAGUUCACACUGUGACGGUAUCUUACCAGAAAGGGACGGCUAACUACGUG